rnacentral:rRNA from 1 species
CAUACGGACGCAAACACGUCUCUGGCGCCCAUCACUAUAUCCAUACCAACCCCUGUGCACUGUGAUGACGAAUGUCAUCGAACAAAAAAAACUCGUAUGGUUGAAUGUACGUGAAAUUGUAGGUAUAGCCUACGAACUAUACACAACUUUCGACAACGGAUCUCUUGGUUCUCCCAUCGAUGAAGAACGCAGCGAAACGCGAUAGGUAAUGUGAAUUGCAGAAUUCCGUGAAUCAUCGAAUCUUUGAACGCACCUUGCGCUCCAUGGUAUUCCGUGGAGCAUGCCUGUUUGAGUGCCGCGAAUUCUCCCUCCCCUUACGGUGGCCGAAAGGCCGAAGUAGGGCGGACGGGGUAGGAUGGGUGUUGCUGCCUGGGGAUUGUACCAGGCUCGCCCGAAAUGCAUAAGCGCCAGGACCCUCGCUACCGCUCUCUAGGGAAGAGUGGCUAAGCGACCGCUGAGCAUGGCAUGAUACGUCAUUUGCUGUGUGUGGGCGGCCGGUUGGAGAGGUGUCUGCUUUACCAGCCCUUUUUUAAUUCUGGUCUCAAAUC